rnacentral:misc_RNA from 1 species
GAUGAAGAACGCAGCGAAAUGCGAUAAGUAAUGUGAAUUGCAGAAUUCAGUGAAUCAUCGAAUCUUUGAACGCUCAUUGCGGCCGCCAGUAUUCUGGCGGGCAUGCCUGUUCGAGCGUCAUUUCAACCAUCAAGCCCCCGGCUUGUGUUGGGGACCUGCGGCUGCCGCAGGCCCUGAAAUGCAGUGGCGGGCUCGCUGUCACUCCGAGCGUAGUAGUUACAUCUCGCUCUGGGCGUGCUGCGGGUUCCGGCCGUUAAAAGCCUUAUUUACCCAAGGUUGACCUCGGAUCAGGUAGGAAGACCCGCUGAACUUAAGCAUAUCAAUAAGCGGAGGA